rnacentral:misc_RNA from 1 species
AAAAAUAUGAACUUUUUCUUCAAAAGCAUUCCUUCUUUGUUCUAUUGCGUGCGGAGAAUUCAAAGGCUCUGCUAUGGAAUCUUGACUAUUAUUUUUCAAAGUUAAACCUUUCUUCAACUCGAAUCGAUUAUAUACAUUCAGAACCGGCUGGAUCGUACUCAUACAUACCCGACCCUUUGCGAUUCCCACCUUGCCAACUCUUUAAACGGCCAAAAAGCACUCUUUUAAUCAUUCCAAUUUUAGUGCCAAAAUAGCACUGAAAUUAGCUCAUCCAAUUUUUGGUACAUCUCAAUCGUUUCUUCAAACUGAAAUUUUGUGUUUUGAUUGAGCUUCACUGAUGGCAAUUGCAUGCGAGUCCUCAAUUCUGGGGCGCUCCCUGUUCGUUUCUGGAACAAAAUCCUCUCGUCUUUUCCAUUACAAUCGAUUUUCAAAGAUAACAGCGAAGGUUUCUCCAAAUAACUAUCUUUUCUUAUCUCGUAUCUCAUCAAAUUUUGCCAAUUCGUACGGUUUAAGACCACCUUGUAUUUCAGCUUCUCCUAGAUUCGUCGUUUCUGAUGGUAUAGCUCAUUCAAAAUCAAGAAACAAAGUUAAUGCUGAUCUGGGUAUUAAAGAAAAUGCGGCAAAGUUUGUGAAUUUGGAAUUAAUAAGAUUUUGGUCAAACGCGGGCUCGUUUUGGGUACAAUGGUGUGUGGGGUUUUGGUGUUUGGGUCCAAAAGACUGUUUGCUGUUGAACGUGUGUUGAAUGCUGGGGUUGUUAUUGGUCAAAGCAUAUUGUUAUGGAGAAAUGCGUGGCCUAAGCUUUCUCUGCUUCUUACGGUUUUCAAGGAGCAGGGUUUGGUAUUGGCUGCACUUCUGGGUUUGUCAGCUUUUUUUUCUAUGGCUGAGACUUCCAUAACCACGUUGUGGCCAUGGAAGGUCCGUGAGCUGGCUGAAAAAGAGCCUGAUGAUGGUGUCUUCAAAAUGCUCCGUAGUGAUGUUACUCGGUUUCUGACAACUAUUCUUAUUGGCACGACUGUGGUCAAUAUUGGGGCAACUGCAUUAGUCACAGAUGCAGCCACAGCAAUAUUUGGUGAAGCUGGUGUUAGUGCAGCCACUGGAGUAAUGACUGUUGCAAUAUUACUCCUCACUGAGAUCACUCCGAAAAGUAUAGCUGUUCACAAUGCCGCAGAGGUUGCUAGGUUUGUGGUCAGGCCAGUGGCAUGGCUUUCCCUGGUGUUGUAUCCUGUGGGAAGAGUCGUCACCUACUUGUCGAUGGGAAUGCUAAAGUUACUUGGUUUAAAAGGAAGAAGUGAACCAUAUGUUACUGAAGAAGAAUUGAAGUUGAUGUUGCGUGGGGCAGAAUUGAGUGGGGCAAUAGAGGAAGAAGAACAGGAUAUGAUUGAAAAUGUGCUAGAGAUCAAGGAUACACAUGUUAGAGAGGCAAUGACACCUCUUGUUGAUGUAGUUGCAAUUGAUGCCAGUGCAACUCUUGUUGAUUUUCAUGAGUUAUGGGUGACCCAUCAAUAUUCGAGCCUUGAGGGUUCCUGUUUUUGAGCAGCGGGUGGACAAUAUUGUGGGUAUUGCAUAUGCAAUGGAUCUGCUAGAUUGUGUUCAGAAGAAUUAUAAUCUGUUUAAUUUUGAAGGGUGAGCUCCUAGAAAGUACAAUUGUACUAGACAUGGCUCACAAACCAGCAUUCUUUGUGCCUGGUAAUCCUUUCAUUCUGUAAUCUGUAAUUGAUUUUUUUUUUUGAGUGGUAUGCAUUGUACAAUGUUGUCUCUUAUUUUUAUUUUUUACUACGCUUGGACUUUAGACUUUUUUUGAAGGGUAGACUUUAGAUUAUUACCCAUCCAAUUAGGACAACAUUUGGGUAGUUGUGCUGGUGCUGUCUAUCUCACAUAGCCCUAUCUUGGUGGCUGGAAGAUUGUCUGGUCUCAACAAAAUGUUGGUGACUCCAAAGUCAAUAAAGCUUUUGUUAUGCGUUUGUUGCUUUAAGUUACCUCAUUUCUUGGGUUCAUUUCUGCAUGUUUUCUUUGAUAUUGGAUGGGCAUUAACAAAGGAAUGUGUGGAGGUCUUUAUUUGAUAUUGUCAGAUGUUAUAAAAAAUGAGAUUGAAAAUUUUAAUUAAAAUAAUAUCAUGUGGUAUUGGACUAGCCAAUUGAACUUUAACCAUGUAAACAUUCAUUAAGGUCAGUUAGAGACUUAUAUGAGAUGACAUGGUGCUAUAAUGUGAAUUUUCUUUCAAAUUUGGAUAAUUCCUUUUACUGUUGUUGAAUGAAAUAAAAGCUAUUAUCUGCUUUAUGGGGGCAUCCUGAAUUAAAAGACAUGUCAGGAAACUGUCAAAGAUGGACCUUAUUUCUUGAUAAAGUGCUUCAAGACAUCUCUAUAAUUCCACUGAAAACUCUUGUUUUAAAUUUUACGUGAAUGAUUUUUAUUGAUUUUGUUGGUUUUUUUCCUGCAAGCUAUAGUGAAUACAAUUAUUGUCCUUGCG